rnacentral:rRNA from 1 species
UACGGAGGGUGCGAGCGUUGUCCGGAAUCAUUGGGCGUAAAGGGCGCGUAGGUGGCCCCUCAAGCGUGCGGUGAAAGUCAGGGGCUCAACCCCUGAUCGGCCGUGCGAACUGGGGAGCUUGAGCACUGUAGAGGCAGGCGGAAUUCCGGGUGUAGCGGUGGAAUGCGUAGAGAUCCGGAAGAACACCGGUGGCGAAGGCGGCCUGCUGGGCAGUUGCUGACACUGAGGCGCGACAGCGUGGGGAGCAAACAGG